rnacentral:rRNA from 1 species
GACGAACGCUGGCGGCGUGCUUAACACAUGCAAGUCGAACGGAAAGGCCCUGCUUUUGUGGGGUGCUCGGGUGGCGAACGGGUGAGUAACACGUGAGUAACCUGCCCUUGACUUUGGGAUAACUUCAGGAAACUGGGGCUAAUACCGGAUAGGAGCUCCUGCUGCAUGGUGGGGGUUGGAAAGUUUCGGCGGUUGGGGAUGGACUCGCGGCUUAUCAGCUUGUUGGUGGGGUAGUGGCUUACCAAGGCUUUGACGGGUAGCCGGCCUGAGAGGGUGACCGGCCACAAUGGGAAUGAGAUACGGCCCAGACUCCUACGGGAGGCAGCAGUGGGGAAUAUUGCACAAUGGGCGGAAGCCUGAUGCAGCAACGCCGCGUGCGGGAUGACGGCCUUCGGGUUGUAAACCGCUUUCGCCUGUGACGAAGCGUGAGUGACGGUAAUGGGUAAAGAAGCACCGGCUAACUACGUG